GAGCGCCGCUAGGUCUCAUUCGAAGAUGGCCGCGUCCAGCACCGCACGCGAUGGUAUUCCAGCUCGAACGUUCUACAGUAGAAAAGGUUGGCGACGACGUAAGUGACUUCAGUGGCCUUUCAGACAGCGAUGAAGAAGAAUGGACCGCUGCUAACGACGCUGCAUCUGAUGAAGAUGAGCCGGAUUUCUUCUGCAGCAGUGCAUCAUCCUACUCAACUUCUGGAAGGGACUGGGAAAAGGAUUUGCUAGGGUUUGGCACCCAGACUUCUCCGGGACUUUUAGUGAGCCGGAUGACAGAGACCCCUGGAGUUGUUUCGGGAGCUGCUCACGAACGGCAUGUUAGAGAUGCUAGUUCAACAAACAAAUCUCUACAGCACUCAAAUGUACCAUAGCAUUUUCAUCUGUGCAGCAAAUGCAUGGAAUCUGCACAGGCGCCAAUCUGCCCAACUGCGCUCCAAGCCAAUGAAAAGGCGUAUGUUUAUCGCUGCGCUGUCAGAGUGCCUGAUGCUAUUUGAAAAGACAAAAAAGGGACGCCCAUUUAGCUUGCCAUCACCUGCUCCUAAAAAAAGAGUUCCACUAAGAAAGCCCAAUGAGGACGUCAGGAAGGAUGGUGUUGGGCAUUUGCCACUGGUAACGAACCAGUGGCUGCGCUGCAGGAACUGUGCGGCAAGUGAGAAUAAGUUCAGUUCCAUAAUUUGUUCAAAAUGUGGCAUCAAACUUUGCCUCAACAGGGAAAUUGUUUUUUUUUUGUUAUCAUAGGUGGUGAAGCAUGACACUGGCGCGCCAUCAAUAUCUUUUGAGAAAAGCCCACUGUAUCAAGUAUGAUACGAACUGUAUUUUUGAUAUGUGACAUCUUUAUCACUGCAACUUGUUCUAAAUAUGUUCACUUGCAUCCCAAGAGCAAAUAAACGAGAUAUCCGAUUUU